AACUGGUGGAGGUCUCAGAAGAAGACAUUGACGUAUUUGAGACACUAGAUGAGGAUAAAGACGAACACCUGAAUACAGAUGAGAUGAAAAAAUAUUUUUCUCUUCCCAAUGUUGUUGAAUUGUUCGGCGAUAUGGCAAGUGACGAGAAUAGCGUGGCUUUCCUGACUCAAACGAUCAUGAACAUGGGCGAUACUAAUGGUGAUGAUGUCAUUUCCCGUGAGGAAUUCUACGCCAUUGAAGAUUUCCAAAAACUUCAGCAAAAGGAAAAAGAGGAAAAUGAGAUCGAAUUUAGAGAUGAACUGUGAUAUUCUUACAUGUGCUUUAUUUUUAUUUAUAAUAAAAUUGAGUGUAUAAAAAACG